rnacentral:rRNA from 1 species
AGAGUUUGAUCCUGGCUCAGGAUAAACGCUGGCGGCGUGCCUAACACAUGCAAGUCGAACGUCCUACGCAAGUAGGGAGUGGCGGACGGGUGAGUAACACAUGGGUACCUGCCUUCAGGUGAGGAAUACCGGCGAGAAAUCGCCGACAAGACCGCAUAUCUUUCGCAAGAAAGAAAGCUCGCAAGGGCGCCUGAAGAUGG